rnacentral:rRNA from 1 species
UAACGCGAAGAACCUUACCAAGGCUUGACAUACACCGGAAACGUCCAGAGAUGGGCGCCCCCUUGUGGUCGGUGUACAGGUGGUGCAUGGCUGUCGUCAGCUCGUGUCGUGAGAUGUUGGGUUAAGUCCCGCAACGAGCGCAACCCUUGUCCCGUGUUGCCAGCAGGCCCUUGUGGUGCUGGGGACUCACGGGAGACCGCCGGGGUCAACUCGGAGGAAGGUGGGGACGACGUCAAGUCAUCAUGCCCCUUAUGUCUUGGGCUGCACACGUGCUACAAUGGCCGGUACAAUGAGCUGCGAUACCGCGAGGUGGAGCGAAUCUCAAAAAGCCGGUCUCAGUUCGGAUUGGGGUCUGCAACUCGACCCCAUGAAGUCGGAGUCGCUAGUAAUCGCAGAUCAGCAUGCUGCGGAAA